UACGUAGGGUGCAAGCGUUGUCCGGAAUUAUUGGGCGUAAAGAGCUCGUAGGCGGUCUGUCGCGUCGGCUGUGAAAACCCGGGGCUCAACCCCGGGCCUGCAGUCGAUACGGGCAGACUAGAGUGUGGUAGGGGAGACUGGAAUUCCUGGUGUAGCGGUGAAAUGCGCAGAUAUCAGGAGGAACACCGGUGGCGAAGGCGGCGCACUGGACCACAUCUGACGCUGAGGCGCGAAAGCUAGGGGAGCAAACAGG
rnacentral:rRNA from 1 species